rnacentral:piRNA from 1 species
UCUGCCAAUGCUGAUGGGUCCAAAGAGAA